rnacentral:tRNA from 1 species
GCUGUGGUUCAAUGGCAGAACCUCCGUUUUGCGUGCAGAAGGUUCCAGGUUCAAUGCUUGGCAUCUCCA